rnacentral:rRNA from 1 species
UACAGAGGGGGCAAGCGUUGUUCGGAAUUACUGGGCGUAAAGGGCGCGUAGGCGGCCUGCUAAGUCGAACGUGAAAUCCCCGGGCUCAACCUGGGAAUUGCAUUCGAAACUGGAUAGCUAGAGUUCGGCAGAGGGAAGCGGAAUUUCUGGUGUAGCGGUGAAAUGCGUAGAUAUCAGAAGGAACAUCAGUGGCGAAAGCGGCUUCCUGGACCAGAACUGACGAUCAGGCACGAAGCGUGGGAGCAAACAGG